rnacentral:rRNA from 1 species
UACGUAGGGUGCAAGCGUUUAAUCGGAAUUACUGGGCGUAAAGCGUGCGCAGGCGGUGAUGUAAGACAGGUGUGAAAUCCCCGGGCUUAACCUGGGAACUGCAUUUGUGACUGCAUCGCUGGAGUGCGGCAGAGGGGGAUGGAAUUCCGCGUGUAGCAGUGAAAUGCGUAGAUAUGCGGAGGAACACCGAUGGCGAAGGCAAUCCCCUGGGCCUGCACUGACGCUCAUGCACGAAGCGUGGGGAGCAAACAGGAU